rnacentral:misc_RNA from 1 species
ACAUAAAUAAGGUUACCAAAAAGUGAGCUUGAUCCCUGUCAAAUUUCAGAAGCUCAUCUGACGAGCCACUGCUGACGACCACAAGGCAGUCUACAGCAUCAAUGAACACAUCUACAAUGAUACUGACCCUCUCUCCGGUGAAAAGCUCUACCAACAUCACCUGACACGUCCCUACAACUACGCAUACAUAGCCGUGAUAGACGGGAGAGCUGUUGCCUUUGACCUGUUCACAUUUCAUGAAGCCAGCAAAACUCUGAUAGGCCGGUUUGCUAGAGUCUGUCCUGAUAACCAGAUCAAAAACCUUCACCGGCAUUUAACAGCACAUGGUGUUAAAGACGUCCUCUCGAAGCGCAACGACAUCAAAGAAAUAAUCUACAUGAAGGGGAAUGAUGGACCCAAGGCAAAACUGUGGCCAAACCACGCACUCAUUGACAUAUUCCAUGCGUCUAUGUUUAAUUUUACUCCUGCACGAGACUUGCUCACAAGAUGCCAACGGAUAACCAGCUUGCUACCAUGGCAACUGACUGAAGCCAAUAGCAAGCAGAAGUUCGAGCUGCUCACUUGUUCCAGCAUUGGCAGACAGCUCGAUGGUAGUGAACGAGUAACUAUUGACCAGAUACCAUACAUGACGACUCCCGGCAAUUAUAGCAUCAUCAUGGAGAAUGAAAACCCACAUGUAAUAGUAGAGCUAUUCGAUGGCCGUUAUGUAUCCGUGAGUUUUGGUUCUGUGCGCGGCGUUUCUGACCCUAGUAACUACGUGCACACAACGUCUAUAGCAAAGAUGCAGAGACGGUCAUUGCUCAUGCAUACCGACAAAUAGCAGACGUUGCCAAACAAAACCCAGAUAAAGAGAUAUUUUUCCAUCUAAUGACAAACGUCUGUUUCACACUGGAACCAAAACAUAGAAAUGAAAUUAACGAUGCUAUGCACAAGCUUGGAUUGUGUUCAGUUAAAUACGCGCACUAUAAUGAUCUUCACGUCCUGGCUGGAGCACGUCUUUCACUGUAUGAACCACACCACCUCCCUAGCAGAUGGAACAGAGGUGGUAACAACGGCAUAACCACGGAUGAUUGCACCGUUGAAAUAACAGUACUGCUGUUUGAACAUGUUCAUCUAUGGCAGCACGGAAAUAUUGAAAUGUCAAAUGAAUGAGCGAUCUGCUAGAUUUAUAGAUUUAAACUUAUUUGCAAUUACCUGGAACACUCUAUCGUUACGAAUAAAUGCUAAAAUAACUAA